UAGCAUAAUGCCAACUGAUUUUCAUCACUAAGAGAUCCUCAAAUGAUAGAUGAAUUUUCAAAGACUUCAAAGAAAGUAUAUAUUGAAUUUAAUGUAGUUUGAUUGUUUCAAUCAAAUGCCCAUUCUUGAGGGAAAAACAUUUGAAAUAAACUCAGAAUGCAGACUCACGUGCUGACAAAUUGUGUUUUCCCCACAACCACCAUCUGAGAUUCAGGUCUCCGCUGCUUCACAUGUACUUUCCUCAAAAGACAAUCCUAUUCACUGCAGAAGACACCGGAGCCUUCCAUAGUUGAAGCUGGGGGCCUUUUCCAGGAAGCAGUCUUUCACCUAUGUUUCUACUCUACCUUUCACUCUUGAAAUCAACUUUGGUACAAGCAUGAUCUUCGGCUAUCAGACCCUAUCGUACAUCUGUAAAAUUUGAAA